rnacentral:rRNA from 1 species
AUUGAACGCUGGCGGCAGGCCUAACACAUGCAAGUCGAGCGAGCGGCGGACGGGUGAGUAAUGUAUGGGGACUGCCCGAUAGAGGGGGAUAACUACUGGAAACGGUAGCUAAUACCGCAUACUAUCGGAUAACCCAUAUGGGAUUAGCUAGUAGGUGAGGUAAUGGCUCACCUAGGCGACGAUCCCUAGCUGGUCUGAGAGGAUGAUCAGCCACACUGGGACUGAGACACGGCCCAGACUCCUACGGAGGCAACAGUGGGGAAUAUUGCACAAUGGGCGCAAGCCUGAGACAGCCAUGCCGCGUGUAUGAAGAAGGCCCUAGGGUUGUAAAGUACUUUCAGUCGGGAGGCGGUAUCUGCAGAAUAAGCACCGGCUAACUACGUGCCAGCCGCCGCGGUAAUAC